rnacentral:rRNA from 1 species
GACGAACGCUGGCGGCGUGCUUAACACAUGCAAGUCGAACGGUAAAGCUUGGUGCUUGCAGUGGGCGGGUGAGUGGCGCACGGGUGAGACAUACGAGAAUACCCUGCCCUUGACUCUGAGAUAUUCAUGGAAAUCUGGGUAUAACACUGGAUACGACAUGUCACCGCGUGGUGGUGUGUAGAGAGGGGUUUAGUGGUUUUGGAUGGGCUCACGGCCUAUCAGCUUGUUGGUGGGGUACUGGCUCACCAAGGCGACGACGGGUAGCCGGCCUGAGAGGGUGACCGGCCACACUGGGACUGAGACACGGCCCAGACUCCUACGGGAGGCAGCAGUGGGGAAUAUUGCACAAUGGGCGAAAGCCUGAUGCAGCGACGCCGCGUGAGGGAUGACGGCCUUCGGGUUGUAAACCUCUUUCAGCUCGGAAGAAGCGAAAGUGACGGUACGUGCAGAAGAAGCGCCGGCUAACUACGUG